UACGUAGGGUGCGAGCGUUAUUCGGAUUUAUUGGGCGUAAAGCGUGUGUAGGUGGUUAUGCGCGUCUCUGAUUAAAGACCCGGGCUCAACUCGGGGAAUGUUUGAGAUACGGCAUAGCUAGAGGUUUGCAGGGGCAGAUGGAAUUCCCGGUGUAGCAGUGAUAUGCGUAGAUAUCGGGAAGAACACCGAUGGCGAAAGCAGUCUGCUGGGCUCAUCCUGACACUGAGACACGAAAGCGUGGGGAGCGAACGGG
rnacentral:rRNA from 1 species